AGAGGGGGCAAGCGUUAUUCGGAAUUAUUGGGCGUAAAGGGCGCGUAGGCGGCCUGGCAAGUGGAAGGUGAAAUCCCUCGGCUUAACCGAGGAACUGCCCUCCAAACUGCUUGGCUUGAGUCCGGGAGAGGUGAGUGGAAUUCCCAGUGUAGCGGUGAAAUGCGUAGAUAUUGGGAGGAACACCAGUGGCGAAGGCGGCUCACUGGACCGGAACUGACGCUGAGGCGCGAAAGCGUGGGGAGCAAACGGGAUUAGAUACCCCGGUAGUCCACGCCGUAAACGAUGAGUGCUUGGUGUAGCGGGUAUCGACCCCUGCUGUGCCGAAGUCAACACAUUAAGCACUCCGCCUGGGGAGUACGGUCGCAAGGCUG
rnacentral:rRNA from 1 species